GAUGAAGAACGUAGUGAAAUGCGAUAAGUAAUGUGAAUUGCAGAAUUCAGUGAAUCAUCGAAUCUUUGAACGCACAUUGCGCCCUCUGGUAUUCCGGGGGGCAUGCCUGUUCGAGCGUCAUUAUAACCACUCAAGCUCUCGCUUGGUAUUGGGGUUCGCGGUUUCGCGGCCCCUAAAAUCAGUGGCGGUGCCUGUCGGCUCUACGCGUAGUAAUACUCCUCGCGAUUGAGUCCGGUAGGUCUACUUGCCAGCAACCCCUAAUUUUUUAAGGUUGACCCCGGAUCAGGUAGGGAUACCCGCUGAACUUAAGCAUAUCAAUAAGCGGAGGA
rnacentral:misc_RNA from 1 species